AAGAAGUUUCACUUUAAAAUAUCUUCUUUAAAUAUUUUAUAUACAUAUUUCCUUUGUUAAAAUGUGAAAUUCAUAAUUUAUUUAAUUAAUCUACUUCGUGUGUAAAAAGGAAUACUUUUAUUUUGCAUUAUAUCAUACUUCCUGUUUAGUCACUUCCUGUUAGUGUUCCUGGCUCUUUGUGGAAGCCAUGUCAGACAUGCGCUCUCUCGGACAAUCUAAGCCAUCCGCUUAAACUCAUCAUAGAGGCAAUGCCUUUUCACCAUAAAUGCUAAUAAGAAGAGUGACAGUAAAUGAUCAAACUUGCUACGACUCUGUCUUCAUUGGCUAUGGUUUAACUCGGUGUUUAGUCAGUCACAACACACUGCACGAGAACACUACAGUGAAAAGGCAGCUUUGAUGUGAAAGUGGUCAAGAUGUCCGCAAGCAGCAAGUCGUCUGUGCGCAGUGCUAGAAGUGGCAAGUCAUCUGCUUCAUCAGAGAGUGUAACCCGUGCUCGGGCCAGAGCCGAAGCUGCUAAAGUCAGAGCAUCAUACGCUAGCCAAGAGGCUAAACUGAAGAUAGAAAAGGCCACAAGAGAAGCGCAAAAUCAGCUAGAAACAGUAAAAUUAGACACUGAACUGGAAGUGUUAACACUACAACGAGAAGCUGAUGUAGCUGCUGUUGAGGCACAAGUACUGGAAGAUGCUGAAAUAGAAAUGCAUGCUGCAGCUGAAAAAGAAGAAUCC